CACGGUAGGGUGCGAGCGUUUGUCCGGGAAUUAUUUAGGGGCGUAAAGAGCUCGGUAGGUGGUGUGUCGCGUCGGCCGUGAAAAACCUGCAGCUUAACUGUGGGCGUGCGGUCGAUACGGGGCAUCACUGGAGUUGGCAGGGGGAGACUGGAAUUCCUGGUGUAGCGGUGAAAAUGCGCAGAUAUCAGGAGGAACACCGGUGGCGAAGGCGGGUCUCUGGGGCCGAUACUGACGCUGAGGAGCGAAAGCGUGGGGGAGCAAAACAGG
rnacentral:rRNA from 1 species